AGACUUGGUCCGUUACACAAAUGGAAUAAAAUCAAGAAUUCAAACAAUUUAGAACGAGCGUGUGAAGACCCUAUUGCUGUGACAAUACAGAGACAACGAUUGCACUGGGCCAUCUGCUGUGCAUGACUGACAAUUGUCCCCAAAACACCUACUUUGCAGCAGACUUAGUAAUGCAACAAGACUAACACAUGGGCCUAAACAGAGAUGGAUAGAUGUUGUCACAAGAGACCUCAGGUCAUAACGUAUCAGUCUUCGUGAUGCUGAUGAUCGUGCUGCUUGGAAAAACGCUAUUACGCUGCAUUGCCAAACCCAUAGUGGGUAUGAUGGAAUCAAGGUUUAAGGACACUACUCAGUACUGUAUUGGAACAUUGGAACAACAUAUCAUUCAAUUUGAGGAAAUGGAAUAGGUAUCUUGAGUCAAUUAGAAGCCAGGACUGUUAUUUAAUUAUUUGGUUAUUAUUUUAGCUUUAGCAUUGACUAUUAAUUAAAAGCAUGUGUAACCUCAUUGUGGGGAAGGAAAACAAUGCGUGAGAGAAAUUGUGGUAAAUAGAAUUGUUAUUCUGAAUAAUUUUCAAAUGAUCUGUUUUAGACAGUUGAUCAACUGUCUUUUCAAUGAAAGGCCUUGUUGACUAUGAGUUGCAGUGUCUGCUACUAAUUACACUGUGAAUGUAACCUGGCUGAUUCUGAGCUAAGCUAAGUCCUUGUGAAGCCAUGCAUUUACCAGAAGAAGUCACGACUAGUGAAGCUUGUGCUAGUAUUAAUAACUUAAAAGAAAUGGAAGUGAUGAAAGUAUUCGUAGUUACUACUUGUACUGGUACUGCAUGGAGUGGUACUUUGAAAAGGAUUGACAUUGUACUUUAGUGGUAAAUAUUUUUCACUAU